ensembl:snoRNA
AUCCUUUUGUAGUUCAUAAGCGUGAUGAUUGGGUUUUCACACUCAUGUAUAAGAUGUGCCUCCAUCAAACCUUCUUAGGAUGUUGGCACAUUACACAUCUGAUG